rnacentral:lncRNA from 1 species
CGAAGAAGAAGAAGACCUCAGUAAUACGGACGCCGGUGAAGGCUUCAAUCCACGAACAUCUUUGCUCUUUGUUUGUAUGGUUCGUAUGUGUGAAUAAAUGUUCAGUGUGGAAGUCCCUCCACUUCACCUCCCGCCUCGAAACUUUAUUUCAUGCCGGAGCUAGGCUAAUAGCAUUCGCGGCUAAGCGUCCCUCCAACUCCACGUUACAAAUCCCUGGAGGAGAGGAGCGGAGGUGGGCUGCAAGGCUGGAGAAAUGCUGACGUGUCCUUUCAUUCUAUUACACUGAUCUGAGCGUCACAACAUAUAAAUUAACUGUGUGAGUGUGAUGGAGUUUGGCAGCAACAAACUGACAGCUUUUCUCCUCAUACCACUGUUUCAUCUUCCUCUACUUCCCUUUUGGCGGUAAAACGUGGUUCACAUUACCGCUAAACAGGUUUCACUCUGCUUAAGGCCACUUACUGGUGGCGAAAAGGGUUUAUUUUGGUAAAUUGUAAGAAAUAAAUUAACUCAGAGUGUGAUGGAGUUUGGCAGCAAUAAACUGACAGCUUUUCUUGUCCAUUUUCAGCUCAGAAAUCGGUACAUAAAGUUCAGCCAUCAAAACAGCAGCAGAGUGAGACGUCUUCCUUUUCCUCAUACCACUGUCAUUACUCAUCGGCGCCCUCCGGUGGCCAAAGCUGUAACUGCAUAUGGAUUAAUGAAGUUUGUGAUGAGACGCUAAAGAGCAGGAGUCAGUGACAUUUCUGCAGCUGUUUGAGGACGAACCGUGAAGAGGGACUGAUUAUGGCGAUGGAAAAACAAAAGUCGGACAAUCGUGAAACAAACUAAACUCUGUCUGAACAAACCCAGAAUCUCUUCUAUAAUUUUAUAUGAAGAAGAAGAAGAAGAUGGGUUUUAGGCAUUCCACUUGAUAGCGCCAACGUGAAACUAUACAGAAAGACAGACUCUAAGAGAGAACGAUUUUGAUAAAUUUUUGUAUUUCAUUCUAUUCAAUGCCCAAAGUUCGACUAUUUAUUGUUAAUUUAAAAUAACUGAAUUAUAAACAUUUAGCUUAAAAAAUCAAACACGUUGAGAAAAAGGGAGACAUUUUAAAGAAAUGACAUGUAGUGGCCCUCAGACUUUUACUUUAUGGUCGAUAUAAAUAAAUGUGUAAUGCUGUUUUUAUCAGCAGUGGUAGAAAUAAUUAUAUUACGCCUCACAAUCUGGGGCUCGUCUUCUUUUCUGGGACGAGUGGAUGAAGAGGAGGGGGUUUAAUCCAUCCAGUGUUUUCUCUGAAUCUCUCUCUUUGGAGGCUGCAUGCUGUUCAGUCUCUCCAAAACUAGAUCAACUCCUCCCCCUUUUCCCUCCCCUCCUAUAUAAAGCACCUGUGGCAGGAGAGCUACCUUCUCUAUUGUCUGCCUGUUUGCUGCCUAACAAAUAUUGGGACAAAAUAUUGUCCUUUUUGUGCUUUUCUUAUGUUUGUGGGGUCAAUUACAUUUAUUUUUGUUUACAACAUAUAUAUUUGGGUGUGGAAUAUUUUUGUGUUUAUUUAAUUCUUCAUGUAACAAAAUUGUUUUUCAUUGAAAGUUUUUUUUUACUUUGAAACUAAAAAGUGGUGUUUGAAAAAUGUUUUGCAAUUCAGUUAAAUGUUUUUAUACUUGAAAAUUGUUCGUGUAGUCGAUAUUUGGGCAUUGAAUAGAAUGAAAUACAAAAAAAUAGAGGAAAAUCGUUCACUAUUAAAGUCUACUGAUCUAAAGUUUCACGUUGGCGCUAUCUAGUGGACUGCCUAAAACCCAUCUUCUUUUUCUUCUUCUCCCUCUAAAACUAUCAAAGAGAUUCUGUGUUUGUUCAGACAGAGUUGAGUUUGUUUCACGAUUGUCCAUCUUUUGUUUUUCCAUCGCCAUAAUCAGUCUCUCUUCACGGUUCGUACUCAAACAGCUGCAGAAAUGUCACUCUGACUCCUGCUCCUUAGCGUCUCAUCACAAUCUUCAUUAAUCCAUAUGCAGUUACAGUUUUGGCCACCGGAGGGCGCCGAUGGGUAAUGACAGUGGUAUGAGGAAAAGGAAGACGUCUCACUCUGCUGCUGUUUUGAUGGCUUAACGGCAGCUGAAUUUUAUGUCCCGAUUUCUGAGCUGAAAAUGGACAAGAAAAGCUGUCAGUUUGUUGCUGCCAAACUCCAUCACACUCUAUGUUAAUUUAUAUUUUACAAGAAACCAAAACAAAACCGUUCCCGUCGCCAGAGAGUGGCUAUGAGCAGAGUGAAACACGUUUAGCAGUAUUGAGUGUGUAGCAGGUGGGAUUCAGAGUCAGAGAAGCUAGAUCAACUCCUCCCCCUCUUCAAUCAAUCAAUUAAUCAAUCUAUCGGGUCGGGCAUCUGUAAAUUGAAACACUAUAUCAAGCAAAAUUGAAAACUAAUAUGUUUUAAUGUUUGAUAAAGACUGCGUUCUUACACGCACAAAUUGAGUUUGAAAAGACAACUCCCGCUAAACCUUCUAUACUAUCGCCUAUAUUUAAUUGGAAAUACGUAGGUGUAACAGGGUUAAACGUAUAUUAUUAUUUUUUUAUAAUUACAAAAAUUAAACCUUUGUGUUUUUAUGUUUGUCCAUGGACCCUUUUAGUGAUUUUAUGUAUUUUAAUCCUAGCCUCUCUCUUCCUGUCGAUUUCUUUUCCUUUAUAUUUGAGUUGCCCUCCUUACUUCUCCCCUUUCUCUAACAGUCAGAGUAGAACAGAGCAUUUCCAGUUGACACCACACGGUGGCGCCUCCCUUUGUUUAGUCACUUGGUAUCACCCUUGCUUCUCUCUGCCAAAAUCAACGAAGAAGAAGAAGACCUCAGUAAUACGGACGCCGGUGAAGGCUUCAAUCCACGAACAUCUUUGCUCUUUGUUUGUGUGGUUCGUAUGUGUGAAUAAAUGUUCAGUGUGGAAGUCCCUCCACUUCACCUCCCGCCUCGAAACUUUAUUUCAUGCCGGAGCUAGGCUAAUAGCAUUCGCGGCUAAGCGUCCCUCCAACUCCAAGUUACAAAUCCCUGGAGGAGAGGAGCGGAGGUGGGCUGCAAGGCUGGAGAAAUGCUGACGUGUCCUUUCAUUCUAUUACACUGAUCUGAGCGUCACAACAUAUAAAUUAACUGUGUGAGUGUGAUGGAGUUUGGCAGCAACAAACUGACAGCUUUUCUCCUCAUACCACUGUUUCAUCUUCCUCUACUUCCCUUUUGGUGGUAAAACGUGGUUCACAUUACCGCUAAACAGGUUUCACUCUGCUUAAGGCCACUUACUGGUGGCGAAAAGGGUUUAUUUUGGUAAAUUGUAAGAAAUAAAUUAACUCAGAGUGUGAUGGAGUUUGGCAGCAAUAAACUGACAGCUUUUCUUGUCCAUUUUCAGCUCAGAAAUCGGUACAUAAAGUUCAGCCAUCAAAACAGCAGCAGAGUGAGACGUCUUCCUUUUCCUCAUACCACUGUCAUUACUCAUCGGCGCCCUCCGGUGGCCAAAGCUGUAACUGCAUAUGGAUUAAUGAAGUUUGUGAUGAGACGCUAAAGAGCAGGAGUCAGUGACAUUUCUGCAGCUGUUUGAGGACGAACCGUGAGGAGAGACUGAUUAUGGCGAUGGAAAAACAAAAGAUGGACAAUCGAGAAACAAACUAAACUCUGUCUGAACAAACCCAGAAUCUCUUCUAUAAUUUUAUAUGAAGAAGAAGAAGAAGAUGGGUUUUAGGCAUUCCACUUGAUAGCGCCAACGUGAAACUAUACAGAUAGACAGACUCUAAGAGAGAACGAUUUUGAUAAAUUUUUGUAUUUCAUUCUAUUCAAUGCCCAAAGUUCGACUAUUUAUUGUUAAUUUAAAAUAACUGAAUUAUAAAUAUUUAGCUUAAAAAAUUAAACACGUUGAGAAAAAGGGAGACAUUUUAAAGAAAUGACAUGUAGUGGCC